rnacentral:lncRNA from 1 species
UUGGUCUUUGGACUUCACGUACUCUACUUGUACAUCCUUUCUUGUGAUGCACUCUCUUAUGUAGUGAUAGCGUGUGUCAAUAUGCUUGCUUCGAUCACGGAACACCAGAUUUUUCUCCAAUGCCAACGUCGACUUAUUAUCCACGCAAAUUGUAGUUGGAUCUUCUUGUGGCCAUCAGAGCUCCUUUAGCAAACUUCGCAUCCAAAUUGCAUGUCAUACACAAGAGGUAGCGGCAACGUACUCAGCUUCACAUGUGGAUAGAGAGACAAUUGGUUGUUUCUUGGACAUCCAAGUGAAGGCGGUGUCUCCCAUGAAGAACACGAAACCCGUGGUACUUUUUCUAUCAUCAAUGUCUCCGGCCCAAUCGCUAUCGAUUUGAGGUAGCGGAGAAUUCUUCUUGCAGCCUUCAAGUGUGUAGUAGUUAGAUUCUCCAUGUAGCGACUUAUGAGUCCGGUGGCGUAGAGAAUGUCGGGUCUCGUGCAAGUCAAAUAUCGUAAGCUCCCAACUAAGCUCUUGAACAUCGUCGUGUGAGAGAAUUCUUCUUGCAGCCAUCAAGUGAAUAGUAGUUGGAUUCUCCAUGUAGCAACUUAUGAGGCGGGUGGCGUAGAGAAUGUCGGGUCUCGUGCAAGUCAAAUAUCGUAAGCUCCCAACUAAGAUCUUGAACAUCGUCGUGUCCACUUUCUCAGCUUCAUCAUGCUUCGACAACUUGAUCCCGCACUCCACCGGUGUGUUGACUGGGUUGCAAUCANNNNNNN